GGAGGCCUUCUCAGUGUCUCUCCUACGGUUUCCACAAAGCCAGGAACUUGGCAAAAGAGGAGACUUUUUCUCCUUUGUGUUCUGAACUGUGGCAUAGAAGAGGCCUUAUAGAAGAGAAUGCUGCUUCUGGAGAGAUGAAGAAACUGAAAAGGGAAGAUAUUUGCCUGAGAUGAUACAGAAAUCAGUUUCAGA